rnacentral:tRNA from 1 species
AGGGGUAUCGCCAAGCGGUAAGGCACUGGACUCUGACUCCUGUAUCGCAGGUUCAAAUCCUGCUACCCCUGCCA